ACUAGAGAAGAAGACAGGAACCAGGAUGGGAAGACGGACAUGUUACAUUUUAAGCUGGAGCUUCCCCUGCAGUCCACGGAGCACGUUCUCGGUGUGCAGCUCAUCCUGACUUUCUCCUAUCGAUUACACAGGAUGGCGACCCUCGUGAUGCAGAGCAUGGCGUUUCUCCAGUCCUCCUUUCCUGUCCCGGGAUCCCAGUUAUACGUGAACGGAGACCUGAGGCUGCAGCAGAAGCAGCCGCUGAGCUGUGGUGGCCUAGAUGCCCGAUACAAUUAUCUGUGACCAACGGGACCAGCCCCUUUGCCUAUGACUACGACCUCACCCAUAUUGUUGCUGCCUACCAGGAGAGGAACGUUGCCACCAUCCUGAAUGACCCCAACUUCAUCUGGCUGGUAGGCAGAGCCAUGAAACUCCAUUUGUGAUUAAUGUUGUCAUCCAGUACCCUGUGGAAACCAUAUCUUAUCAGCCAGGAUUCUGGGCGAUGGUAAAGUUCGCCUGGGUGCAGUAUGUCAGCAUCCUGCUUAUCUUCCUCUGGGUGUUUGAAAGAAUCAAGAUCUUCGUGUUUCAGAAUCAGGUGGUGACCACCAUCCCUGUGACAGUGAUGCCCCAGGGAGAAGUGUGUAAGGAGCACUUAUCC
rnacentral:lncRNA from 1 species